AUCCAUCCAUCCAUCUACCAUCCAUCCAUUCCCACCCAUAUUCAUCCAUCCAUCCCUCCAUCCACCCCUCUACCAGACAAACUGCAUGGAAAGCUCUAGCAUACUUCCUGGGACCAGGAGGGGCUGCAUAAAUGAUAGCUAUUAUUGUAUUAGCUCAACUUUAUUGAAAUAUACUUUGACAAAGGUGCCCAUGAAUGUUACCAACACCACAGUCAUGAUAUGGGACAUUCCAUCCACUGCAAAAAGCCCCCGUGAUUUUCUGAAAUGCCCCCCACCCUCUGCCACCAUCACCCCUGGCCCCGGGCAACAGUGGGGGGCAUUCUGUCACCGUGGAUUGGAUCUGCCUUUCCUGGAACUGCACAUACACGGAAGCACACAGGACGCAACCUCUCACUUCUGGUUCAGCCUCCUGCCCCUGACAUUCACGGACAUGCUGCACCCCUCAGUGGCUCGCCCCUUGUUACUGCUGCCCGGUGCUCCCCCGGACAGAUUCAUCGAGACGCCUGAAUCCACGGGUUUAUAGUUUUUGUCAAAAUUGGAAAUUCUUUAGCCGUUAUUUCUUCAAUUAUUUGGUCCUCCCCCUCCUCCGGGAUCUCCCCCUCCCAACUUGGACAGCAAGUGUUUGCAGCUUUGGCUCAAAGGCUAUUUGAGCCCUGCUAAUAAGGCACGACCCUUUGGCAUCCCUGCUGCGUACCUGGGCGCUCAACAACCUGGUCACAACUCGAAUGUCUCCCAGCCCUGGGAACGGCUCACCUUACAGCCACCUGGCCACUCUGCCCACCUGGUGACAGUCCUCUACGCCUACGUGGCUUUGCAUCCAGCCAAAGGCUCAAAGGCGCCCCCACAUUGCUCUGUGAACUUGCUCUGCAUGGCGCCCUCCCCUCUGGAGUGCAGCCCCUCUACUCUGGACUCAGUUUCCUCUCCUUGUACAACGGCUCCAGAAACCGCGUCCGGGCACAAAGCUGGGCAUUCGCAGGGUCUCUGCCUUGUGUCCCUGGUCUUACUCUGAGGCAGCCCGUGCUCCAGGGCCUGGAAACAGUUGUCUCGUGUACUCUGUCCAGUUUUAUAGCUGUGCACGGAGGGUGGUAAGUGCAGCGCCAGUCGCUGCCCCCUGACAGAGCCACUGCUGUUGUUUUCAAAACCGAAGAUUGUCCAGAGGGGCUCCGUCCACUUACGGUGGUCACGCCCCCUCAUCUCUAUGCUGCGCGCACAGAAACUAUUUGAUGGUCCCAGUGGGAGUUUAGUGCAAACGUGGUGCAAGAGCACAGUGACCGUCAUCAGAAACAUUCCUUGUCACUGUCCCCCCACCUCUGCACCCCUGACAAUGAUGUAUCCGUUUCUGUCCCACACAAACGCCACAGCUACAGACAAGAGCUUUGGGGACAACCCUCGGAAAGUGCCCUUGAAACACGGAGAAGAAA